rnacentral:rRNA from 1 species
AGAAUCAACGCUGGCGGCGUGCCUAACACAUGCAAGUCGCACGAGAAAGGGUCUUCGGAUCUGAGUAAAGUGGCGCACGGGUGAGUAACACGUGACUAAUCUACCCUCGAGUGGGGAAUAACCUAGGGAAACCUGGGCUAAUACCGCAUAACACUUACGAGUCAAAGCAGCAAUGCGCUUGGGGAGGAGGUCGCGGCAGAUUAGCUAGUUGGCGGGGUAAUGGCCCACCAAGGCAAUGAUCUGUAUCCGGCCUGAGAGGGCGCACGGACACACUGGAACUGAAACACGGUCCAGACUCCUACGGGAGGCAGCAGUGGGGAAUUUUGCGCAAUGGGGGAAACCCUGACGCAGCAACGCCGCGUGGAGGAUGAAGUCUCUUGGGACGUAAACUCCUUUCGAUAGGGAAGAUAAUGACGGUACCUAUAGAAGAAGCCCCGGCUAACUUCGCGCCAGCAGCCGC